rnacentral:rRNA from 1 species
UCUUGAAAUUUAAAGAAUUUGGCGGUGUUUUAAUCCCCUUAGAGGAACCUGUUUUAUAAUCGAUACACCACGCAGUAUCUUACUUAUUUUCUAAGCUUGUAUACCAUCAUUAUUAGAUAACUUAUAGAUAAAUAGUUAUUACAAUUAUAAGCUAAAUAUAUUAGAUCAAGGUGCAGCCGAUAAAUAAGAAAAAAUGUGUUACAAUAAUGCUCAUUAUACGAAAUAUUAUAUAAAAUUAUAAUAUAAAGGCGGAUUUAAUUGUAGGUAUUAUUUAAUAUAUUAUAUCGACAUUGGCACUAAAACAUGUACAUAUCGCCCGUCGCUAACU